rnacentral:rRNA from 1 species
UGCAGUCGAGCGGACAGAUGGGAGCUUGCUCCCUGAUGUUAGCGGCGGACGGGUGAGUAACACGUGGGUAACCUGCCUGUAAGACUGGGAUAACUCCGGGAAACCGGGGCUAAUACCGGAUGCUUGUUUGAACCGCAUGGUUCAAACAUAAAAGGUGGCUUCGGCUACCACUUACAGAUGGACCCGCGGCGCAGUAGCUAGUUGGUGAGGUAAUGGCUCACCAAGGCAACGAUGCGUAGCCGACCUGAGAGGGUGAUCGGCCACACUGGGACUGAGACACGGCCCAGACUCCUACGGGAGGCAGCAGUAGGGAAUCUUCCGCAAUGGACGAAAGUCUGACGGAGCAACGCCGCGUGAGUGAUGAAGGUUUUCGGAUCGUAAAGCUCUGUUGUUAGGGAAGAACAAGUACCGUUCGAAUAGGGCGGUACCUUGACGGUACCUAACCAGAAAGCCACGGCUAACUACGUGCCAGCAGCCGCGGUAAUACGUAGGUGGCAAGCGUUGUCCGGAAUUAUUGGGCGUAAAGGGCUCGCAGGCGGUUUCUUAAGUCUGAUGUGAAAGCCCCCGGCUCAACCGGGGAGGGUCAUUGGAAACUGGGGAACUUGAGUGCAGAAGAGGAGAGUGGAAUUCCACGUGUAGCGGUGAAAUGCGUAGAGAUGUGGAGGAACACCAGUGGCGAAGGCGACUCUCUGGUCUGUAACUGACGCUGAGGAGCGAAAGCGUGGGGAGCGAACAGGAUUAGAUACCCUGGUAGUCCACGCCGUAAACGAUGAGUGCUAAGUGUUAGGGGGUUUCCGCCCCUUAGUGCUGCAGCUAACGCAUUAAGCACUCCGCCUGGGGAGUACGGUCGCAAGACUGAAACUCACAGGAAUUGACGGGGGCCCGCACAAACGGUGGAGCAUGUGGUUUAAUUCGAAGCAACGCGAAGAACCUUACCAGGUCUUGACAUCCUCUGACAAUCCUAGAGAUAGGACUUCCCCUUCGGGGGCAGAGUGACACGUGGUGCAUGGAUGUCGUCAGCUCGUGUCCUG